rnacentral:rRNA from 1 species
UACAGAGGGUGCAAGCGUUGUCCGGAAUUAUUGGGCGUAAAGAGCUCGUAGGCGGUUUGUCGCGUCCGUUGUGAAAGCUUGGGGCUCAACCCCAAGACUGCAGUGGAUACGGGCAGACUAGAGUCAGGUAGGGGAGAACGGAAUUCCUGGUGUAGCGGUGAAAUGCGCAGAUAUCAGGAGGAACACCGGUGGCGAAGGCGGUUCGCUGGGCCUGUACUGACGCUGAGGAACGAAAGCGUGGGGAGCGAACAGG